AGAGUUUGAUCAUGGCUCAGAGUGAACGCUGGCGGCGUGCCUAACACAUGCAAGUCGAACGAGAACGGAUAUAAGUUUACUUAUAUUGUCAGCUAAGUGGCGCACGGGUGAGUAAUAUAUAGUUAAUCUGCCCUGAAGAAGAGAAUAAUUGUUGGAAACGACUUGUAAUGCUCUAUAUGCCUUUAUCACAUAAGUGAGCAAGGGAAAUAUUUAUAGCUUCGGGAUGAGACUGUACGGUAUCAGCUAGUUGGUGAGGUAAUGGCUCACCAAGGCUAUGACAUCUAACUGGUUUGAGAGGAUGAUCAGUCACACUGGAACUGAGACACGGUCCAGACUCCUACGGGAGGCAGCAGUGGGGAAUAUUGCACAAUGGAGGAAACUCUGAUGCAGCAACGCCGCGUGGAGGAUGACACAUUUCGGUGCGUAAACUCCUUUUAUUAGGGAAGAUAAUGACGGUGCCUAAUGAAUAAGCACCGGCUAACUCCGUGCCAGCAGCCGCGGUAAUACGGGGGGUGCAAGCGUUACUCGGAAUCACUGGGCGUAAAGAGCAUGUAGGCUGAUUAGUAAGUUGGAAGUGAAAUCCUAUGGCUCAA
rnacentral:rRNA from 1 species